CUUAAACGGCCGCGGUACCCUGACCGUGCAAAGGUAGCAUAAUCAUUUGUUCUUUAAAUAAGGACUUGUAUCAACGGCAUCACGAGGGUUAUACUGUCUCCCCCCCCCAAUCAGUGAAACUGACCUCCCCGUGAAGAGGCGGGGAUUAGUCUACAAGACGAGAAGACCCCAUGGAGCUUUAAACCCAAUGAUAACCUCUCUCUAAGUACCCCUUAAAGAUAUAGAGGGCCUAUAAAUUGGUUUUAGGUUGGGGUGACCGUGGAGUAAAACAAAACCUCCUUGACGAAUAGGAACCAUCCUAAUCUAAGAGCUACUGCUCUAAGAAUCAAGAACUUGACGUAAAAUGAUCCGGCAACCGAUCAACGAACCAAGUUACCCUGGGGAUAACAGCGCAAUCCAUUUCAAGAGCCCCUAUCGACAAAUGGGUUUACGACCUCGAUGUUGGAUCAGGGUAUCCCAGUGGUGCAGCCGCUACUAAAGGUUUGUUUGUUCAACAAUUAAAACCCUACGUG
rnacentral:rRNA from 1 species